rnacentral:rRNA from 1 species
GAUGAACGCUGGCGGCGUGCCUAAUACAUGCAAGUCGAGCGAACAGUUCGGGGGUUUGCUCGCCCGAGGUAGGCGGCGGCGGGAAGGGUACCUCUUGGUUAACCUAACUAAAGGACAGGGAUACCUUCGGGAAACGGGACCUAAUGCGGGAAAAUUUAUUGAACCUAAAGGUUCAAUAGUGUAAGCCGCUUUUUCUUUAACUUAUGGAUGGACCCGCCCCGCAUUAGCUAGUUGGUAAGGUAACGGCUUACCAAGGCAACGAUGCGUAGCCGACCUAAACGGGUGAUCGGCCACACUGGAACUGAGACACGGUCCAGACUCCUACGGGAGGCAGCAGUAGGGAAUCUUCCGCAAUGGGCGAAAGCCUGACGGAGCAACGCCGCGUGAGUGAUGAAGGUCUUCGGAUCGUAAAACUCUGUUAUUAGGGAAGAACAAAUGUGUAAGUAACUAUGCACGUCUUGACGGUACCUAAUCAGAAAGCCACGGCUAACUACGUG